rnacentral:rRNA from 1 species
UACGGAGGGUGCAAGCGUUAUCCGGAUUCACUGGGUUUAAAGGGUGCGUAGGCGGACAUGUAGGUCCGUGGUGAAAUCUCUAAGCUUAACUUGGAAACUGCCAUGGAUACUAUAUGUCUUGAAUGUUGUGGAGGUUAGCGGAAUAUGUCAUGUAGCGGUGAAAUGCAUAGAUAUGACAUAGAACACCAAUUGCGAAGGCAGCUGGCUACACAAAUAUUGACGCUGAGGCACGAAAGCGUGGGGAUCAAACAGG